rnacentral:rRNA from 1 species
UAGCUUGGGAAUCUGGCUUAUGGAGGGGGAUAACUACGGGAAACGGUAGCUAAUACCGCGUAGAAUCGGAAGAUGAAAGUGCGGGACCGCAAGGCCGCAUGCCAUGAGAUGAGCCCAAGUGGGAUUAGGUAGUUGGUGGGGUAAAGGCCUACCAAGCCUGCGAUCUCUAGCUGGUCUGAGAGGAUGGCCAGCCACACUGGAACUGAGACACGGUCCAG